GGGCGUGGUUUAGUGGUAAAACCUCAGCCUUCCAAGCUGAAGAUGCGGGUUCGAUUCCCGCCGCCC
rnacentral:tRNA from 1 species